GCGCGGCUCCCCACAGCGUGCAGGACCCCGGACUGUCGCGCCGCGCCUGGGGACGCACAGGAGGUGGGAUCCAGGAGCGAAGCCCCUGCAGCGUCCCAGACUGGACGUGGCCCUGCACCCCCAGCUGCUGGGCUGGCCGGGACAUGCAUGAGAUCGCGCGCUUUACAAACUGUUGUUCUUUCUGGGAAAGUUAAAGAACGCGCUGCAGCCGCUUCGCCUGCUGCUGAAAGGAGCCAGGCAGGGCUGGUCACUCCGCGCCACGCCCCGUGCGCCAACACCGGAAGGCUACAAGGUUCAUCUGCAAGUUUCUUCAAAUGGUUGCAAUGCUUACUGCAACCUCCAUCUCCUAGGCUCCAGUGAUCCUCCUGCCUCAGCCUCCCAAAGUGCUGGGAUUACAAGCAUGAGCUACUACAUCUGUCCAAAAGCUGCAUUUCCAAGACCAGGUUUUGGCAGUUACAGGUUGCAGGGUUCUCUGGGCCCAUCCAGGAGAUGAGAGAAAAAGAAAACUCAGGGCCUUGUACAGCGUCACCCCCAAAGUCCCGAGGUUCCUGGACAGCCUUUCUUCCUCUACACUUCCUAUAGUCCUCUUAUGUCUGUUAAAUUUUUUCCAGGGUGUCUAGUUGUAUUUAGAGGGCAGAUGCCACCUCGUCAUAGAAUGCCGGGGUCCACUCUCCAGGCAUUUGGAACGAGUUGCCACGAGGUCCUCGGGAGGGUGUGACAGUUCACACGCCCACCAGCAGCUUUCCACGUCUCCAUUUCCUCUGCCCCUGACAGCAUCUAAUGUUAUGAUUUUUGUUUGUAAAUUUGGCUUUUGGUUCCUUUAUGAGGGGAUUAAUUAAUACAGGCUGCUGGCUCCUUCCCACGAAUCCAAACCUUGGAGAUGCCAUCAAAGGGAUGACAGUUGAUGGAGCCCAGAACCUAAGAGGACCCCUGAGAGCCUUGCGGAGGCUGGGCAAACGUGGUGGAGUCUGGGACAGGAGGGGAAUCACAGUCUGAGUGGAGGAGGCCACACAGCACAACCGGGGCCAGACUGCAGCUCUCUGCUCCGGGGCCCACCUGGGGCUGUCAUCUGCCAGCCCUGCUUUCCUGUAGAAGAUCCCACCCGUACCAGCCCCAGGAAUCUAGGCAAGGCCAGAGCACCUCAGGAGCCUCCUGGAGUGAGGGCCACGACACCUGGGCAGGCUGGCUGGUGGCCCCUGGGCAGCCUUCCUCCCCAGCCCAAGGACAGCCAAUUACAGCACAGGGCAGCCCUGGACAGACAGCACCAGCUAGAAGGACAGGGGCGUUCCCUGCAGACCAGAGCAGCCCCCGGGGAUGAGCAAAGAGGGCCCCAGUCAUCCUGCCAGAGGCUCUGCCCCCAGGAGCCCCUGCCUGCCUCCCUGAAGCCCACAAGGAAGGUGUCAACUGGGGCCUAAGACGAAGGCAGUUGACCAUACCCAGGGAACAGAGAGCGGCCUGAGGAAACGAGACAGCGAGGGGAGUGAACUCCGGGAGGGAAAAACCCCAAGGUUUUUCCUUGGAGGAGGGAGCAGAUGAGCGGAUAAGACCGGUAAAUCCGUCACAUACCCUCAGGACGCAGGGAGAGCGCGGCUGGAAUUGGCAGUUAUGCAGAAGAUGCAGCCGGGAAUACUGGACUGGAACAUGCGGGCGCUUAAGUGAUGAACUUGGUGGGAAGGUUGGAGACCAGAAAAUGAAUGAGUGAGGCAGGUCAGGCUCUGAGCUCUUCUAGAAGGAGCUGAAGGGGUUGAGGAGGCAGAGGUGAGGGAGGAAAAAUAUUCAGUGCUUAAAAGAGGAAAAAUGAAUAGAUAAGAGGAAGUAUCUGAAAAAUGAUUAGGAAAUUUCCCCAAUUAAGAAAAGAUGCACAUCCUCAAACUAAAAGGGCCUGCAGAGUGUUAAUUACAUUUUAAAGUUAAAAUCUUAUGUGUACUUUCAAAGAAAAGCAUCUACAUUUUGAGUCAAAAUUGCUAAAAACUUCCAAAGAGAAAAAGCAGGUAACCCGCACAGGAACAGGAGUGGUGCUGACAUUAGAAUCGCGGCACAGACAACGGAUGCAAGAAGAAAGGGAGUGACAGCUUCAGACGCGAGAGGAAAGGACCCUGGAACCCAGGGCUGUGUCCUGCUCACCGCCAUGAAAUAUGGGCACGCAGGAAGCCAUCCUCAGUCCUAUCAGCCCCCUUGAGAGUCAACCCCAGAAACACUCUUGGAGAAAUAUUUCAGCAAGAAAAAGGAACCGGGGAGGAUGCUGCCAGGUCUAGGGAGGAGUGAUGCUUCCCCAGCGUGGAUGGUUCACUGCCAUCUAAGUAAGCAAUGACCUCCGCGUGUGCCGCACAGUCCAGCUUCCUCAGAGGCGGUGGUGGCCUGGUGGAGGAAUGUGGGCUGGCUGGGCGGCCACAGAGAAUUACUGUUUCCAUUAAAAGGAAAUGUGUUCUGGCCGGGAGCCCUGGCUCACACUGUAAUCCCAGCAUUUUGAGAGGCUCAGGCGGGUGGAUCGCUUGAGGUCAGGAG